rnacentral:rRNA from 1 species
CAGCCGCCGCGGGAAAACGUAGGGGGCAAGCGUUAUCCGGAAUUACUGGGUGUAAAGGGAGCGUAGACGGUUAAACAAGUCUGAAGUGAAGUGCCGGGGCUCAACCCCGGAGCUGCUUUGGGAACUGUAGAACUGGAGUGUCGGAGGGGUAAGCGGAAUUCCCAGUGUAGCGGUGAAAUGCGUAGAUAUUGGGAGGAACACCGGCGGCGAAGGCGGCUUACUGGACGACAACUGACGUUGAGGCUCGAAGGCGUGGGUAGCAAACAGGAUUAGAUACCCCCGUAGUCCCUGUCUCUUAUAC